AUGCUCUGUACAUGGUCCUUGAGAUGCCCUUGGAUUUCACAGCUUUUGAUUUUCCUCUAAUACUAAAAUGGUGGUGCCUCAUUCUCUUGGAUAAUUUUGCUGUUGAAAGGAAACAUGUCCUCACUGCGUGCAAGUGCCGGAAGAGCAGGAGAUUGAAAUCUGCAGCAGGG